UACGUAGGGUGCAAGCGUUAAUCGGAAUUACUGGGCGUAAAGAGUGCGUAGGCGGAUAUAUAAGUUAGAUGUGAAAUUCCCGAGCUUAACUUGGGGACUGCAUUUAAGACUGUAUAUCUAGAGUCUAUUAGAGGGGGGUAGAAUUCCAAGUGUAGCAGUGAAAUGCGUAGAUAUUUGGAGGAAUACCAAUGGCGAAGGCAGCCCCCUGGGAUAAGACUGACGCUGAGGUACGAAGGCGUGGGUAGCAAACAGG
rnacentral:rRNA from 1 species